rnacentral:rRNA from 1 species
GACGAACGCUGGCGGCGUGCCUAAUACAUGCAAGUCGAGCGGACAGAAGGGAGCUUGCUCCCGGAAGUUAGCGGCGGACGGGUGAGUAGCACGUGGGCAACCUACCCUGUAGAUCGGGAUAACAUCGAGAAAUCGGUGCUAAUACCGGAUAAUCAUUUGAAGUGCAUGCUUCGAAUGUAAAAGAUGGCUCCGGCUAUCACUACGGGAUGGGCCCGCGGCGCAUUAGUUAGUUGGUAAGGUAAUGGCUUACCAAGGCAACGAUGCGUAGCCGACCUGAGAGGGUGAUCGGCCAAACUGGGACUGAGACACGGCCCAGACUCCUACGGGAGGCAGCAGUAGGGAAUCUUCCGCAAUGGACGAAAGUCUGACGGAGCAACGCCGCGUGAGUGAUGAAGGUUUUCGGAUCGUAAAGCUCUGUUGUUAGGGAAGAACAAGUGCCGUUUGAAUAAGGCGGCACCUUGACGGUACCUAACCAGAAAGCCACGGCUAACUACGUGCCAGCCGCCGCGGUAAGAC